rnacentral:rRNA from 1 species
AUUGAACGCUGGCGGCAUGCCUUACACAUGCAAGUCGAACGGUAACGGGCCUUCGGGUGCCGACGAGUGGCGAACGGGUGAGUAAUGUAUCGGAACGUACCUUUCAGUGGGGGAUAACGUAGCGAAAGUUACGCUAAUACCGCAUAUUCUGUGCGCAGGAAAGCAGGGGAUCGCAAGACCUUGCGCUGAUUGAGCGGCCGAUAUCAGAUUAGCUAGUUGGUGAGGUAAAGGCUCACCAAGGCGACGAUCUGUAGCGGGUCUGAGAGGAUGAUCCGCCACACUGGAACUGAGACACGGUCCAGACUCCUACGGGAGGCAGCAGUGGGGAAUUUUGGACAAUGGGGGCAACCCUGAUCCAGCCAUGCCGCGUGGAGGAAGAAGGUUUUCGGAUUGUAAACUCCUGUCUUUUGGGACGAUAAUGACGGUACCAAAAGAGGAAGCCACGGCUAACUACGUG